UAGUAGUUUUAUUCUUGCUGUUUCAUUCAGUUUUUGUUUGUUCUAUAUGUAAGUUUUGCGUGAUUUGUCUCAGGGUUUGGUUUCUAGAUGGGCCCCGGGGUGGAGUUGUAAUUUUCAUUAGUUAUUAUUGGUUAGUCAAGUAUGCUUGUAUCUAGCAAUUCGUUUUAGUUUCGGUUAAAUUUUGUGCCAGCAGCCGCGGUUAUACUUUGGAAGCGUUUGAAUGUGUUUGGCUUAAUUGUAGUUAUAUGUUUAGUGUUUGAUUUUCUUUUGUUUGUUUUUAGGUGAAAUUUUUAUUUUUUGUUGCUGUUUUUUAUUUGUUUGGAGGCUAUGAAACUCUUAUUUUAAACUAGGAUUAGAUACCCUAUUAUUUUUGAGCGUUAAUUUUUGUGCCUGAGUAGUAUUAGUUAUGUUCUUGAAACUUAAAGAAUUUGGCGGUAUCUUAUUCCAUUCAGAGGAAUCUGUCUCGUUAUCGAUAGUCCGCGUUGGACCUUACUUGGGGCUUAGUGGUUUGUAUACCGCCGUUUAUUGAUUGUCUUUUUAGAGUGUUGGUAAAUUUUCUGGUUUCUUUACUUUGGUUUAUUUCAGGUCAAGGUGCAGCCUUUCCCAAGUGUAUGAUGGAUUACAUUGUUAUUUGUUGUUUGGAUUGUUUGAUUUGAAUAUUUGCAUGAAAUUGGAUUUGGUUGUAAUGUUUUGUAGAUUGUUUUCAUGAUAAUUGGUUCUGAGAUAUGCACACAUCGCCCGUCGCUCUCGUUUAGUUGUUAAUGAGAUAAGUCGUAACAAAGUGGCUGUACCGGAAGGUGUGGCUGGAAUGAU
rnacentral:ncRNA from 2 species